rnacentral:rRNA from 1 species
GUGCCAGCAGCCGCGGUAAGACGGAGGGUGCUAGCGUUGUUCGGAAUUACUGGGCGUAAAGGGCGCGUAGGCGGCCUGAUCAGUCGGGUGUGAAAGCCCGGGGCUCAACCCCGGAACGGCACCCGAGACGGUCAGGCUGGAGACCGGGAGAGGAGGGUGGAAUAGCCAGUGUAGAGGUGAAAUUCGUAGAUAUUGGCUGGAACACCGGUGGCGAAAGCGGCUCUCUGGCCCGGUUCUGACGCUGAGGCGCGAAAGCGUGGGGAGCAAACAGGAUUAGAUACCCUGGUAGUCCACGCCCUAAACGAUGUGUGCUGGGCGUCGGGGGGCUUGCCCCUCGGUGCCGGAGCUAACGCGGUAAGCACACCGCCUGGGGAGUACGGCCGCAAGGUUAAA